rnacentral:lncRNA from 1 species
UGAAAAGUGCUGUAAAUGACAGAAUCUUUCUUCUAACAGAUUUGACAAACAUGGAGGCUGAACCUGUGAAUGAUGGAAGCUUUUUAUUGGCUUACCAAAAGCAAUGGCUUUUACAACUUGUACAACUAAAAUGAACAGUAAAAACAAAAACACAUCAUGAUGCAAGUUGCUGAGUAAUCACAUAUCCUUCUGCAGCACUGGGACCAAUUGAGAACCAGUUUAAGCUGAGAGGGUUACUCUGUGGGGUAGCCUGCAAGAUGCCCCUUCGUGGGAGCCAGGACCAUCUGUGCACAUGACUGAAGAGAGGCUGUUCCUAGAAGAAAGGAGUUUUCAGGGGUUGUAGUUCCUGGGGCUUGAGAGUCCGAGGUGUGUAAUUAGGGAUUCCCAUGGCAACAGGGUUGUGGGAUCUGCCAGUGCAAAAAAGCAAGGUGAAUGCAAGGUGAAGGACAGAAAAUGCCUGGGAGAGGCAGCAAGAGGAGGUACCAGCUGCAGCCCAUAUCUCCUCAGGAGCUGGUCCUGGGAGUGGCUUGUACUUAAUUUGACAAGUUAGACUUGAUUCAGGAUAAUUUCCAAUGUGAGAAAGAAUUGAGGACUACCUCAUAAUAGUAAAAUCAUUACCAAGAAGAAAGGUAAAGUGAUUUAGAAUACAAGACAUAUAGUUAAACACAGUUCAAGAGUAAGCACUGAAAUUAAUUUUGG